rnacentral:rRNA from 1 species
UACAGAGGGUGCGAGCGUUAAUCGGAAUUACUGGGCGUAAAGCGUGCGUAGACGGUUAUUUAAGUCGGGUGUGAAAGCCCCGGGCUCAACCUGGGAAUUGCAUUCGAGACUGAAUAGCUAGGGUACGGUAGAGGGAAGCGGAAUUUCCGGUGUAGCGGUGAAAUGCGUAGAUAUCGGAAGGAACAUCAGUGGCGAAAGCGGCUGCCUGGACCAGUACCUACGUUCAGGCACGAAAGCGUGGAGAGCAAACAGG